UUUUUUUUAAUUUCCGCUGGGGAAGGUGCCGAGUGGAGCUGCUGUCCGAGCUGGGCGCGAUGCUGAAGACGGAGCAGCCCUGGAUGUAACGCGCGGCGCCUCGGAGAGCCUUGCAGCAAUAGCCCGGAUCCCAGGCUGAACUUUGCUC